rnacentral:lncRNA from 1 species
UGAAAGGGAGGCAUCGGGAACUCAGUUUUAAGAUGGUGGCGCACUAGGUGUCUUGAGUACAUAGAGCAGUACAUACCUACCACACUCAAUAUGUACGUUCUCAAUAUGUACGUAGCACCAUCUUGAGUUCUAGGUGUUAUCCACGUGAUGUUUCGGGUAUUAACCUCCACGCACUUGAGAAAACGCUCAAGGAUGGUGAAAAUGAGAAUCAAUCCGCGCAUAUUGGUGGUGUAAUUCGGUUGGAAGUGGAAGAUAAAAAUAAGAGGUUUCUUCUUGUAAUCUCAUUGUAGAGCAAAACUAGAAUCCAAUGUUGUAGGAAAACAUUGAACGAAAACGAGAAUGCAAAGUGCCAUUAUACAUUAAGUGAAAGCACAUUGGGUGUUGGCACUGCAAGCAUUCUGUAUGCAGCAUCAAACU